GGAUGUGGCUCAGUGGUGGAGUGCUUGCCUAGCAUGUGUGAGGCGCUGGGUUCAAUCCUCAGUACCA
rnacentral:tRNA from 1 species